rnacentral:rRNA from 1 species
AUGAGAGUUUGAUCCUGGCUCAGGACGAACGCUGGCGGCGUGCCUAAUACAUGCAAGUCGAACGCUUCUUUUCCCAUCGGAGCUUGCUCCACCGGGAAAAGAGGAGUGGCGAACGGGUGAGUAACACGUGGGUAACCUGCCCAUCAGAAGGGGAUAACACUUGGAAACAGGUGCUAAUACCGUAUAACAAUCGAAACCGCAUGG